rnacentral:rRNA from 1 species
UUUAACUGAAGAGUUUGAUCAUGGCUCAGAUUGAACGCUGGCGGCAGGCUUAACACAUGCAAGUCGAGCGGGGGAAGGUAGCUUGCUACCGGACCUAGCGGCGGACGGGUGAGUAAUGCUUAGGAAUCUGCCUAUUAGUGGGGGACAACAUCUCGAAAGGGAUGCUAAU